UCUAGAACUCGAGAUAUGGGCUGAACACUAAACAGUAUUUGGGCUGCAGGACAGAUUCAGACUUCUUCGUUGUUGCUACAAGUUGGAAAACGACCGUAUUAAAUCUUGGACUCCUCAUGAAAGUUUUAGGCCUAUGUCUUAGCUUUCUAUC
rfam:Populus trichocarpa scaffold_11_contig_555, whole genome shotgun sequence.